UACAGAGGGUGCGAGCGUUAAUCGGAAUUACUGGGCGUAAAGCGCGCGUAGGCGGCUUUGCAAGCCGGAUGUGAAAUCCCCGGGCUUAACCUGGGAACUGCAUUCGGGACUGCAUUGCUAGAGUAUGGGAGAGGGAAGUGGAAUUUCAGGUGUAGCGGUGAAAUGCGUAGAUAUCUGAAGGAACAUCAGUGGCGAAAGCGACUUUCUGGACCAAUACUGACGCUCAUGUGCGAAAGCGUGGGGAGCAAACAGG
rnacentral:rRNA from 1 species